rnacentral:rRNA from 1 species
AGAACGAACGCUGGCGGCAUGCCUAACACAUGCAAGUCGAACGAGACCUUCGGGUCUAGUGGCGCACGGGUGCGUAACGCGUGGGAAUCUGCCCUUGGGUACGGAAUAACUUCGGGAAACUGAAGCUAAUACCGUAUAAUGACUUCGGUCCAAAGAUUUAUCGCCCAGGGAUGAGCCCGCGUAGGAUUAGCUUGUUGGUGAGGUAAAGGCUCACCAAGGCGACGAUCCUUAGCUGGUCUGAGAGGAUGAUCAGCCACACUGGGACUGAGACACGGCCCAGACUCCUACGGGAGGCAGCAGUGGGGAAUAUUGGACAAUGGGCGAAAGCCUGAUCCAGCAAUGCCGCGUGAGUGAUGAAGGCCUUAGGGUUGUAAAGCUCUUUUGCCCGGGAUGAUAAUGACAGUACCGGGAGAAUAAGCUCCGGCUAACUCCGUGCCAGCAGCCGC